CUAGCAACAACAUCUGCAGUAAAGUUGGCCUCCCGAAAAAAGUGCUUAAAAGAAAUCUCUUCGUAGUAAGAACUGAGCAAUCGAAUGUCUUACACAAGGAGACUUAUGCUCCAGGGAACCGAAACCAGAUUAUUAACACAAUCAAUGAUAAGCUUUGAGUCACCUUCCACAAGGAUCUUUCGCCAACCCUUAUGAAUAGCAUGAGCCAGGCCAUCCCGAAGAGCCAAACACUCUGCGACUGUAAUAGAAACUUGACCAGAGUUUUUAGUGCCAGCUAAACGAACAUUACCAUUCUAGUCACGAAUCACAAAACCAGUUGCAGCCAGAUUACCACGCACCGAACCAUCAAAAUUCACUUUAACCCAGUCUAGCGGUGGUGGUUCCCACUUGAUAUUAACCUUUCCAGUAGAUUUCUGGGGCGGGCAAGAGUUAAUUUUCCAGUAAUCUAGCCCAAUGCGACCAGCCACAUUUAGUACUCUAACUGGAUGGGGAUCGAUGUCUUUAAAAAUGCAGUUGUUCCUGGCUUCCCAGAUCUGCCAGCAUAAAAGAAGAGCUUUGGAAAGAACAUUUGGGCCAUCGGCAGCCUUGGUAUGAGGUAGCGAAGCCAGCCACUCAAUGCCAUCAAAAUUCUGAUGAGCAUAGUUAGGGAAAAAAUACGUAAGUGGUUAAUAGUCUCCAUAUGAUUCUUACACAGAGGACAUUCUGGAUUGAUAUUAGGUAAAAAUUUGUAGAGAUGGCUUCUAACUUGCAGUCUUUUUCGAAUGAGAAGCCACGAAAAAAGUUUGACUUUAGGGGGGAGGAUUAAACUCCACAUUUUCUUCAAAAGGGGGGCUUUUGGGUGACUCUGUUCAUCCUGCAGUUGUAAAUUGUAAGCAGACUUUAUAGAAAAAUUUCCAUUAGGGGCAGGCCCCCAGAUAAGCUUAUCUUGAAGAGGAUAAAAGGGCAAAGGAAUGGUCAGAAUUUUUUCUAUCACAUCAUCAUCAAUCACUUGAGAGAGCUUGUCAUAAUUCCAAGCUUGAUUUUGAAUAAAGUCAGACACUUUAGCAUUUAAAUUAAGAUUAUUUCUAAGGAAGACAGGAAUUAGAUCUAACAAAGGAAAAGGAAAGACCCAAUUAGCAGUCCAGAAAGGAAUAGAUUGCCCAUUACCAACAAUCCACCUUAUACCUUUGUGAAGCACAGAGCGCGCCUCAAGGAUGGCUUUCCAAGUCGAAGAAUGUGAAGUCUUUUUAGCAGUCACAAGAAAACCCUCAUUCUUCAAGUACUUCUUCAACAUAAUUUGAGCCCACCAAUUGGAAGAAUCAGUUAAGCAGAUCCAACCUAAUUUUGCUAAAGCCGCUUUGUUGAAAAGAGCCGCAGAU
rnacentral:lncRNA from 1 species